rnacentral:rRNA from 1 species
UACGUAGGGUGCGAGCGUUAAUCGGAAUUACUGGGCGUAAAGCGUGCGCAGGCGGUUAUAUAAGACAGUUGUGAAAUCCCCGGGCUCAACCUGGGAAUUGCAUCUGUGACUGUAUAGCUAGAGUACGGUAGAGGGGGAUGGAAUUCCGCGUGUAGCAGUGAAAUGCGUAGAUAUGCGGAGGAACACCGAUGGCGAAGGCAAUCCCCUGGACCUGUACUGACGCUGAUGCACGAAAGCUAGGGGAGCAAACAGG